UGGACAGGAUCCGGACGAGCGACGGGUCCUCAAUAUGAUGUGGGCUGAGGUAGGUUUGGAGGGUUGAGGGGAAUGGCGCGUCGACGCCAUUGCUACGGCUCAAAGAAAUCGUCGAUUCUGAGAAUUGGGUGGUGCAUUAGUUCCCCGCGUGGGACAAGGUGGACUGCCAGGAGCGUCGCUUUGUGGGUUUCUAGCAGGUUACAGGGUAGUGGGAUAUUGAGAAUUUUCAUGUUUGAUCUGGAGGAAAACUUGUAGGGCGUGAAAUCCUAGUCUGGUAGCGAUGGAUCAAGCGAUGGAAGAUGGGCGUGAGGAGGACGAGGAAGAGACGGAGAGCGUAAGAGGAGAUCGGAAGAACGGAGUCGGCGAAAAGAAGUUGAUUGUAGAGACAACUGUGCUCUAGAUCAAGAAAAUGAUGCGGGACCCGAGGAGCUUCCUGGCACGGAAAAUCAAUUUCUUUGCCUUAAAACCGCGGAUUGGAUUGUGCAGAUCUGCCGAUUAGACGCAUGUGUCUCGGAAGAUGAGCUCCUCGUUGAUGCACAUCUUUGCCCUGGGGAUUGAAUUCUUGAAAUUGGGGGUUUGGUGGUUGUUUGUGCUUUCUGCUCGACUCCUUUCGGAAAUAUUGGGUCGCCCUCUCCUCUGACCGGUUCAACGGAUCACUACUGCAGCUGUUCUUGCAAUAAAAAUCGGAAGCUGUGGCAUGUCAAAUCGUGACGUGCUCUUCACAUUCGUCUAAACUUCACUAGAAAUCUUGCGAGUACACAUUCGUGUGAUUAACUUCCCGCAUUAGAGCAUAUAAUGCGAAUGAACGUAUUGAAUGGGAACCUUGCGUGCAUACUUGAAUGCUAAAUUUGUCGCAAAAGACCCUGAAGCUUCCAUUGAGGCAAAAUGAUGAGUCUUCCUCGUUAUGGGUUCCCAUUCGCCACUGGUUGAGCAGGGGGCCAUCGUCCGAUAGCUUAAAAGUUCAUGAAAGCACCUGUUCCCUAUGAAAUCACUUUUAAAAAUACAAUUCAAAUGAAUAAAUAUAACUAUUUCAGAAAAGAACAGAGUUUACUUGCGCUCAUGAAUUCAUGUUACUAGUUUGGAGUGUGGGCUGUGAAUGUAACCUGAAAUAGAGCACGUAUGUCAGCUUGAAGGAAAUGCUGUCUCGAUCAGAACACCGACCUGGCUAAUGCACGCUAUAUUUGUUCAGGUUAAUAUGAUUGUGGAAGUAGAGGGUGUGAAAUGACCGCUUUCUGGCGAUCCUGGAGUAUUCUCCAAAUCUGCAGGUUAAUUUUUCAACUGUUUUGCCAAUGCGAUAAUUGAGGGAGUAUGGAAUACUUGCGCAUACUUUUCUCUGCGCCGGCAACGUACUCCCUCUGGCAGGAGAGAGCCCCGGUCCCUGGUCUCUGAGGGACUCUUUUUUAGGGUUUCGUGUCUCUUCAGGAGCUGGGAUUGUGAUUCCGACUGCAGUAUUUAUCCUUGAGGUUUGUUUUCCAUCAUCAUUUUCAAAACUCCUUUUCAGCUACUUUUACCAUUGGUCAAAUGUCAACAUGUUUUAAACGAUUCGGAGACGUCUUUCCUCUGGAUGAGGUCAGAUUUUUGAGUACCCUCAAUAACCAGCAGAUAAGGUUGGAAAAUGAAUAGGAUCAAAUGUAGUGUAUUUAGAUUCUUAUGUUUGAUUCGUUUGCAAAAUCUAUGCUUCAUCUUUGAAUUUGGAAACUAUCUCUGGAGGAGUGUACUAAAUCUGAGUAAUUUUUUGUAGAACACGUGCUACUUACUGAGGUACCAAGAUGGCGACCGGACCGUAUUCCACUAAUUGGUAGUUGCUUCAUCAAUGUAAAACGAUGGCGUGAACUACCUGGACCUCAACAUCCUUGUUGAUGAAGCCAUAACAGAUUCUCUAAGCAUCGUGUUGCAAAUUCCUGGAAUGAGCAACCAGGUUCACAUGAAAUUGCUUCAUAAUUUUUUUGGUAGCUUCAUGUGGUCCACGCCUACUCGUAGUUGCUGUAUAAUCCCUGCUACAGCUCUGAAAUGAUAGAGUUGUGAGCAAGGUCUUUGACUCAUGCACGAUCUUGUUAGACAUACGUGCUCUAUUUCAGGUUACAUUCACAGCCCACACUCCAAACUACUUUUCACCGGAUUCGUGUAACCUUCUGCUCCAGGCAGUUUUCUCCAUUCAGUCCCUUCAAUUUUGUAUCCGCAGUUGUGUGCUAUGCUCCAAAUCCGUGACUUAAAGAUGGUAUCUUUUCAAACUUCUUCUUAUUUACUCACAAACCUUUCCCAAAUGACUCAGGCAGCGUCCAUCUGUUGAAUUUGAGGUUGCAACAAUUGCGUUCAAAGCUUUGAGAACGAGGUCUGAUAGCCCGUAUGGUUCAGAAAAAGUCUUUCCAUCUGGUGAGGCUGUUGAAAACGGAUGAGAAAGAGUCCUACGCAACUUGUUUUGAACAUAAAGCAAUUCUAAAAUAUCGUGCACUUUUCGGUCUAUAACCAAAGUGUCUUGAAAUUGGAGACGUUACUCGCCAAAGCCGUACUUCUCGAGGCAAAAUUCUUUUGAAGAGCUGAUCAUAAGAGGGAAAAAGGCUCGGUGAAAACAGCCAAAGCUACUUCCUUUGUGUAAGUAAAAUUCAUGGUGGCAUAUCACUUCGUUUCAGUCUUCAUCUUCAAUUUUCCAAUCAAACAAGCACGCACCUCAA
rnacentral:lncRNA from 1 species